GACGAACGCUGGCGGCGUGCUUAACACAUGCAAGUCGAACGGAAAGGCCCUGCUUUUGUGGGGUGCUCGAGUGGCGAACGGGUGAGUAACACGUGAGUAACCUGCCCUUGACUUUGUGAUAACUUCAGGAAACUGGGGCUCAUACCGGAUAUGAGCUCCUGCUGCAUGGUGGGGGUUGGAAAGUUUCGGCGGUUGGGGAUGGACUCGCGGCUUAUCAGCUUGUUGGUGGGGUAGUGGCUUACCAAGGCUUUGACGGGUAGCCGGCCUGAGAGGGUGACCGGCCACAUUGGGACUGAGAUACGGACCAGACUCCUACGGGAGGCAGAAGUGGGGAAUAUUGCACAAUGGGCGGAAGCCUGAUGCAGCAACGCCGCGUGCGGGAUGACGGCCUUCGGGUUGUAAACCGCUUUCGCCUGUGACGAAGCGUGAGUGACGGUAAUGGGUAAAGAAGCACCGGCUAACUACGUG
rnacentral:rRNA from 1 species